CAUCAACACGAGGAACACCUCCAGUUUCUUUCGACAUUGUAUGGAUGUGUAAAGAUCAUAGAACAAUUUAAUUAAUGUAUCUUCGCCAUAAAAAUUAUACAAUGCACCAAUGACAGGGACAGCUUCCAAUUUGUCAGUGGCUCAUGGACCGGUGAUCAAUUUAAUGGCAGAACAAAAUCUUCACACCAGGAGCCCCCAUUUAUAAUUCCACACGGCACACACAACAUGCACAAGGAAAACACGAUUCAAAAGAAUAGGAGAACCACUGAUCCAAAGAAUUCAUAACCUGGUUCCAGCGGUUUGCAGAUUUCGUCAAACAUUAAUCUUGAAUGACCAGAAUAGGCCGGAUCUAUAACAUUUUGGACAAAAAAGAGGAGACAAACAAGCCGAUGGAUUUGCUUGCUGAAUCAUACGUUCGAGAACUAUAUAUGUUAAUGCUAAUUUUCAUGAAUGGCUACCACUUUUAUCUACAUAUUCAGACACCAGCAGUGUAAAAAUAGAAUUAUCAAUACCUGCUAUUAGUUCUUCGCCUGGAAUGCAUUUAACUUUUGACUUUAUUUGGAUAAAGAUCAGCAUUUAUCUUGAUUACUUGAUUCUAAUUGUCCAUUAUUUUGUAAUAAAAUCAUUCGUCACAGUCAAAAAGGAUGUCGGGAUCUGGCAAGAUUAAGGGGUUAUGAUCGUUUCCCGUAAUUGUACGUCGGAUCAUAUUAGGUUUUUACUUUCCUGCGGUACCGCAGGAAGUUCUGUUGAGACCAUCUCAUGUCUACCCUGAGUGGCCGGUUCUGAAUUGGUACCAGUUCGAGCUUGACUGUUUUAUGAUACAUAGUAUGGACUAUGUAUUCAGCGUGCAUAUAGAGUUUUAUGAUAUAGAAACUGUUAAUCUUUACUCCCCUGAAACCAGGGGGUGAUGCGAAUAAGACCCGACGUAUUUGGGGAUCAUAACCCUCGUUCUCUUUAGGAUAAACCUUGAGGAACUUGAGCAUCCAUUGCUACCAAUGGUGCACAGAUUUGUCAGUUAAAUCAAUCAUGUCGGCAUUCUGUUAUCAUGUCAGACCUCGUCAUUCAAAGUGAACUGUGGCCGUUAUUUCCACAUUAA